AUUGAACGCUGGCGGCAUGCUUUACACAUGCAAGUCGAACGGUAGCAGGCCGCAAGGUGCUGACGAGUGGCGAACGGGUGAGUAAUGCAUCGGAACGUGCCCAGUCGUGGGGGAUAACGCAGCGAAAGCUGCGCUAAUACCGCAUACGAUCUAUGGAUGAAAGCGGGGGACCGUAAGGCCUCGCGCGAUUGGAGCGGCCG
rnacentral:rRNA from 1 species